rnacentral:rRNA from 1 species
UACGAAGGGUGCUAGCGUUGUUCGGAAUUACUGGGCGUAAAGCGCGUGUAGGCGGCAGCGCAAGUCGGGCGUGAAAUCCCACGGCUCAACCGUGGAAGUGCACUCGAAACUGCGCAGCUAGAGUCCUGGAGAGGAAGGUGGAAUGCUUGGUGUAGAGGUGAAAUUCGUAGAUAUCGAGAGGAACACCGGCGGCGAAGGCGGCGAACUGGACAGAUACUGACGCUGAGGAGCGAAAGCGUGGGGAGCGAACAGG